UGGGGGAUAUUGCACAAUGGGCGAAAGCCUGAUGCAGCGAUGCCGCGUGGGGGAAGAAGGUUUUCGGAUUGUAAACCCCUGUCCUCUAGGACGAAAAUGACGGUACUAGAGAAGGAAGCUCCGGCUAACUACGUGCCAGCAGCCGCGGUAAUACGUAGGGAGCGAGCGUUGUCCGGAAUUACUGGGUGUAAAGGGAGUGUAGGCGGGACUGCAAGUCAGGCGUGAAAUCUACGGGCUUAACUCGUAGACUGCGUUUGAAACUGUGGUUCUUGAGUGAAGUAGAGGAUGGCGGAAUUCCUAGUGUAGCGGUGAAAUGCGUAGAUAUUAGGAGGAACACCAGUGGCGAAGGCGGCCAUCUGGGCUUUUACUGACGCUGAGGCUCGAAAGCGUGGGGAGCAAACA
rnacentral:rRNA from 1 species